AGUCGAGCGGACAGAAGGGAGCUUGCUCCCGGAUGUUAGCGGCGGACGGGUGAGUAACACGUGGGUAACCUGCCUGUAAGACUGGGAUAACUCCGGGAAACCGGAGCUAAUACCGGAUAGUUCCUUGAACCGCAUGGUUCAAGGAUGAAAGACGGUUUCGGCUGUCACUUACAGAUGGACCCGCGGCGCAUUAGCUAGUUGGUGGGGUAAUGGCUCACCAAGGCGACGAUGCGUAGCCGACCUGAGAGGGUGAUCGGCCACACUGGGACUGAGACACGGCCCAGACUCCUACGGGAGGCAGCAGUAGGGAAUCUUCCGCAAUGGACGAAAGUCUGACGGAGCAACGCCGCGUGAGUGAUGAAGGUUUUCGGAUCGUAAAGCUCUGUUGUUAGGGAAGAACAAGUGCGAGAGUAACUGCUCGCACCUUGACGGUACCUAACCAGAAAGCCACGGCUAACUACGUGCCAGCAGCCGCGGUAAUACGUAGGUGGCAAGCGUUGUCCGGAAUUAUUGGGCGUAAAGGGCUCGCAGGCGGUUUCUUAAGUCUGAUGUGAAAGCCCCCGGCUCAACCGGGGAGGGUCAUUGGAAACUGGGAAACUUGAGUGCAGAAGAGGAGAGUGGAAUUCCACGUGUAGCGGUGAAAUGCGUAGAGAUGUGGAGGAACACCAGUGGCGAAGGCGACUCUCUGGUCUGUAACUGACGCUGAGGAGCGAAAGCGUGGGGAGCGAACAGGAUUAGAUACCCUGGUAGUCCACGCCGUAAACGAUGAGUGCUAAGUGUUAGGGGGUUUCCGCCCCUUAGUGCUGCAGCUAACGCAUUAAGCACUCCGCCUGGGGAGUACGGUCGCAAGACUGAAACUCAAAGGAAUUGACGGGGGCCCGCACAAGCGGUGGAGCAUGUGGUUUAAUUCGAAGCAACGCGAAGAACCUUACCAGGUCUUGACAUCCUCUGACAACCCUAGAGAUAGGGCUUUCCCUUCGGGGACAGAGUGACAGGUGGUGCAUGGUUGUCGUCAGCUCGUGUCGUGAGAUGUUGGGUUAAGUCCCGCAACGAGCGCAACCCUUGAUCUUAGUUGCCAGCAUUCAGUUGGGCACUCUAAGGUGACUGCCGGUGACAAACCGGAGGAAGGUGGGGAUGACGUCAAAUCAUCAUGCCCCUUAUGACCUGGGC
rnacentral:rRNA from 1 species